rnacentral:misc_RNA from 1 species
UUGUGGAGGAGGACGCCGAAGGUGGGGCUAAUGACUGGGGUGAAGUCGUAACAAGGUAGCCGUACCGGAAGGUGCGGCUGGAUCACCUCCUAACAGGGAGACAACAAAAUGUUUAAUAUUAUUAUUUUGUCACCUUAGGUCGAUCGGUAUCUCACAUUCUUUUAUUAAGGACUUCAUUUCCUAAGUUUUUCUAGGUCACACCCAUUAUUUUUCCUGGGCCAUUAGCUCAGGUGGUUAGAGCGCACCCCUGAUAAGGGUGAGGUCCCUGGUUCAAGUCCAGGAUGGCCCAUAUCUCUAUGUUGGGGGUAUAGCUCAGUUGGUAGAGCGCCUGCUUUGCAAGCAGGAUGUCAGCGGUUCGAGUCCGCUUACCUCCACUGAUUUCCACCUCUUCCAUAUUUUCGAAAAGGAAAUGUUUUGAGUUGUGAUCAAAUUCUGAACGAAUCUAGCUUCCUAAUUUUAAUUAUUAAGAUGCUGGACUCAUUGAAUUAAUUUCAUUGUUUUCAGAGAACCUUGACAACUGCAUAGAUUAUUUUUAAAGACAAUAAGCAUCUUUAAUGAUGCAGAUUUAUUAUUUGUGCGAAUGCAUUAAUAACAAUUCUAUUAAGCUGAUGCUUCAAUUUUGAAGUUAUUGGUCAAGCUACAA